rnacentral:rRNA from 1 species
GAGUAACACGUGGGCAACCUGCCCCUGACUUCGGGAUAACGCUUCGAAAGAGGUGCUAAUACCGAAUAUGAACGCGAAGGACAUCCUUUGCGUUGGAAAGUUUUUCGGUUGAAGAUGACCUCGCGGCCUAUCAGCUUGUUGGUGAGGUAAUGGCUCACCAAGGCGACGACGGGUAGCCGGCCUGAGAGGGCGACCGGCCACACUGGGACUGAGACACGGCCCAGACUCC